UAAGCAUCCGGCGGACGGGAAAACACUGCUGAGCCAUCGUACGGACCUUCCCCGGGCGCUGACGCAGGGGGACUGCUCAGACGUCAGUGGUAAUGACCUCUCUGUCGAAUCGGACAACAUCCGUCCCGUUUGGCCACACGGGACGCGCCCUCCACUCCAAGUUCUCCAACACGUGCGUGGUGCAGAGCUGCAGGACACGGUUCCUAACGUGUGGGCGGCUCCGAGGGUUCUGCUCACGCGGCUGCUCACAGUCGUGUGCGGUGAGCGGAGCUUUUCCAAGCUCAGGCUCAUUAAAACAGGUCUGUGAUCGCUGAUGGCCAAUGAGAGACGGACGUCGCUGGCUAUUUUAUCGCUUGAAAAUGCCAAUGGCCAGUCCUUGGCUCCCACUUGGAUGCUGUACUUCAGUUCGGGCGGGCGAAGAUGUGGCCUUCAGGGGAACACCCUACACAUC